rnacentral:rRNA from 1 species
UACGAAGGGUGCAAACGUUGCUCGGAAUCAUUGGGCGUAAAGCGCACGUAGGCGGCGCUCUAAGUCGGAUGUGAAAUCCCUCGGCUCAACCGAGGACGUGCAUCCGAAACUGGAGUGCUCGAGUAUGGAAGAGGGUCGCGGAAUUCUCGGUGUAGAGGUGAAAUUCGUAGAUAUCGGGAGGAACACCAGUGGCGAAGGCGGCGACCUGGGCCAAUACUGACGCUGAGGUGCGAAAGCGUGGGGAGCA